AUGUCGUGAUGAAGACAUUUUUUCAACAAUUCUUUAAACCUCUCCAAUGCAUCAUAUAAUAAUUCCCCAUAAUUCUAGAAGAAGUUAUUGAUCUCUCCUCUUAAUCU